UAGAGACAUGUUGAAUGUGGAAGGGGAGUGAGAACGUCACCAAGGUGGAAUGUUUCUGAGUCAGAAAGAAUGAUGACAUUAUUGACAGUGAUGGGAAAGUGUUUGUUAUUGUAGGCGAAUCCUGCUCCAGUCUGGUUGGUAGCGAUAAGAACCUCUUAAUCUGGCUUGGCGAUCUUUAUCAGUAUGGAGAUCAGGCCCCACCGCUUAUCAGGAAUUCACAUCUACUGUAGCUGAAAGCAGAACAAAAGGAAAAACAGGCCGGCAAAAAAGCUCGUGCAACUACCGGGAGACUUUUCACUUCCAAGUUCAUUUCGAAAAAGGAGAAAAAGUCUCAUAAACAUACACAGAGACACCAUCAGCCUAAAAAUCAAUCUCCCUUCUUAUCGGCUGGUCCCCAUCUGCAAAAGCCAGGACUGCAACUGCUCAAGGUUCGCUCACUCCGCCUAUGUGCCCGCACUCCAUGUUUGAAGUUAAUAAAUGUAAUAGGCUAUCUGG